UGCGUAGGUGGGCAAGUAAGUCAGUGGUGAAAUCUCCGGGCUUAACCCGGAAACUGCCAUUGAUACUAUUUGUCUUGAAUACUGUGGAGGUCAGCGGAAUAUGUCAUGUAGCGGUGAAAUGCUUAGAUAUGACAUAGAACACCAAUUGCGAAGGCAGCUGGCUACACAAAUAUUGACACUGAGGCACGAAAGCGUGGGGAUCAAACAGGAUUAGAUACCCUGGUAGUCC
rnacentral:rRNA from 1 species